GGGCCAGUUGCGCAGUGGAUAACGCGCCUGACUACCGAUAAGGAGACUCCAGGUUCGAAUCCUGACUGGUACG